rnacentral:rRNA from 1 species
UACAGAGGGGGCGAGCGUUGUUCGGAAUUACUGGGCGUAAAGGGCGCGUAGGCGGCCUGCUAAGUCAUACGUGAAAUCCCUCGGCUCAACCGAGGAACUGCGUCUGAUACUGGUUGGCUUGAAUUCGGGAGAGGGAUGCGGAAUUCCAGGUGUAGCGGUGAAAUGCGUAGAUAUCUGGAGGAACACCGGUGGCGAAGGCGGCAUCCUGGACCGACACUGACGCUGAGGAGCGAAAGCCAGGGGAGCAAACGGG